rnacentral:rRNA from 1 species
CCUACGGGGGGCUGCAGUGGGGAAUAUUGGACAAUGGGCGAAAGCCUGAUCCAGCCAUGCCGCGUGUGUGAAGAAGGCCUUCGGGUUGUAAAGCACUUUCAGUGGGGAAGAAAGCCUUGGGGCUAAUACCCUCGAGGAAGGACAUCACCCACAGAAGAAGCACCGGCUAACUCCGUGCCAGCAGCCGCGGUAAUACGGAGGGUGCGAGCGUUAAUCGGAAUUACUGGGCGUAAAGCGCGCGUAGGCGGUCUGAUAAGCCGGUUGUGAAAGCCCCGGGCUCAACCUGGGAACGGCAUCCGGAACUGUCAGGCUAGAGUGCAGGAGAGGAAGGUAGAAUUCCCGGUGUAACGGUGAAAUGCGUAGAGAUCGGGAGGAAUACCAGUGGCGAAGGCGGCCUUCUGGACUGACACUGACGCUGAGGUGCGAAAGCGUGGGUAGCAAACAGGAUUAGAUACCCUUGUAGUC